rnacentral:rRNA from 1 species
CAGCCGCCGCGGUAAUGCGUAGGUGGCAAGCGUUGUCCGGAAUUAUUGGGCGUAAAGCGCGCGCAGGCGGAUAGGUCAGUCUGUCUUAAAAGUUCGGGGCUUAACCCCGUGAUGGGAUGGAAACUGCCAAUCUAGAGUAUCGGAGAGGAAAGUGGAAUUCCUAGUGUAGCGGUGAAAUGCGUAGAUAUUAGGAAGAACACCAGUGGCGAAGGCGACUUUCUGGACGAAAACUGACGCUGAGGCGCGAAAGCCAGGGGAGCGAACGGGAUUAGAUACCCGGGUAGUCCCUGUCUCUUAUACA